rnacentral:rRNA from 1 species
GAUGAACGCUGGCGGCGUGCCUAAUACAUGCAAGUCGAACGAACUUCCGUUAAUUGAUCAGGACGUGCUUGCACUGAAUGAGAUUUUAACACGAAGUGAGUGGCGGACGGGUGAGUAACACGUGGGUAACCUGCCCAGAAGCAGGGGAUAACACCUGGAAACAGAUGCUAAUACCGUAUAACAGAGAAAACCGCCUGGUUUUCUUUUAAAAGAUGGCUCUGCUAUCACUUCUGGAUGGACCCGCGGCGCAUUAGCUAGUUGGUGAGGUAACGGCUCACCAAGGCGAUGAUGCGUAGCCGACCUGAGAGGGUAAUCGGCCACAUUGGGACUGAGACACGGCCCAGACUCCUACGGGAGGCAGCAGUAGGGAAUCUUCCACAAUGGACGCAAGUCUGAUGGAGCAACGCCGCGUGAGUGAAGAAGGGUUUCGGCUCGUAAAGCUCUGUUGUUAAAGAAGAACGUGGGUGAGAGUAACUGUUCACCCAGUGACGGUAUUUAACCAGAAAGCCACGGCUAACUACGUGCCAGCAGCCGCGGUAAUACGUAGGUGGCAAGCGUUAUCCGGAUUUAUUGGGCGUAAAGCGAGCGCAGGCGGUCUUUUAAGUCUAAUGUGAAAGCCUUCGGCUCAACCGAAGAAGUGCAUUGGAAACUGGGAGACUUGAGUGCAGAAGAGGACAGUGGAACUCCAUGUGUAGCGGUGAAAUGCGUAGAUAUAUGGAAGAACACCAGUGGCGAAGGCGGCU